AUGAAAAAACUGAGGCUGAGAGAGGCACAGUUGUUUGAAGCCACAUGAUAAGCUGCAGGAGAGAAGGCCCCCAAGACAGCAAGAACAAGCCAUCAUCUUCAGUGAGAUCCAGGAGUAAGGAGAGAGAGACUGAGGACCACAGUAGGUACUCAACCAUCUUUGCAGCUAACUUCUUGGCUCCUCAGUGCUGCUCAGCCUGA
rnacentral:lncRNA from 1 species